CCGGGACCGAGCGAGCCGGCGAGCGACCGAGGUAAAGGUAUCGCGCCUUAGUCAGAGGCCACCAGAGUUGGGUUUACAUUUUGUUAGUAGACACCCUUUAUCAUCUUUUGUAUUUGAUAACAAGUAAUGUAACGAAAAGAAUGUAAAGCUUAUUUUGAGGUAAAUGUGAUGUAAGAAAGAAAUGAUGAAAUGAUGUAAUGAAAUGUAAAGAAUCCUAAAUGUAAGAAGUGGAUGCAAUGUAUAUGAU
rnacentral:lncRNA from 1 species